rnacentral:rRNA from 1 species
UACAGAGGUCUCAAGCGUUUGUUCGGAUUCAUUGGGCGUAAAGGGUGCGUAGGCGGCCAACUAAGUCAUACGUGAAAUCCCUCAGCUUAACUGGGGAACUGCGUGUGAUACUGGAUGGCUUGGAUUUGGGAGAGGGAUGCGGAAUUCCCGGUGUAGCGGUGAAAUGCGCAGAUAUCGGGAGGAACACCAAUGGCGAAGGCAGCUCGCUGGGACGUCACUGACGCUGAGACGCGAAAGCGUGGGGAGCAAACAGG